ACGCUCGACACCUACGGGAGGCAGCAGUGGGGAAUAUUGCACAAUGGGGGAAACCCUGAUGCAGCAACGUCGCGUGAAGGAAGACGGUUUUCGGAUUGUAAACUUCUAUCAAUAGGGAAGAAAGAAAUGACGGUACCUAAAUAAGAAGCCCCGGCUAACUACGUGUCAGCAGCCGCGGUAAUCUGAGGCGGGCUGGCAAGGC
rnacentral:rRNA from 1 species